rnacentral:rRNA from 1 species
GACGAACGUUGGCGGCGUGCUUAAUACAUGCAAGUCAACUGAAGCAGUGGUAGCAAUAUCGCUGUGGAGGUGGCGCACGGGUGAGUAACACGUAGGUAAUCUGCCUUCAGGUCUGGCAUAACUCCGGGAAACCGGGGCUAAUAGCAGAUGAUGCAGCGGCUCGACAUCGAGACAGUUGUUAAAGCUAUGGCGCCUGAAGAUGAGCCUGCGUCUGAUUAGCUAGUUGGCGGGGUAACGGCCCACCAAGGCAACGAUCAGUAGCUGGUCUGAGAGGAUGAUCAGCCACACGGAACUGAGACACGGUCCAGACUCCUACGGGAGGCAGCAGUAAGGAAUAUUGCUCAAUGGGAGAAAUCCUGAAGCAGCAACGCCGCGUGAGGGACGAAGGGCUUUUGCUUGUAAACCUCUGUAGUGAGAGAAAAAAAUCCCAAUCUUUGGGACAUGAUGGUAUCUCAAAAGUAAGCCCCGGCUAACUACGUG